rnacentral:rRNA from 1 species
CAGUCGAACGAACUUCCGUUAAUUGAUUAUGACGUACUUGUACUGAUUGAGAUUUUAACACGAAGUGAGUGGCGAACGGGUGAGUAACACGUGGGUAACCUGCCCAGAAGUAGGGGAUAACACCUGGAAACAGAUGCUAAUACCGUAUAACAGAGAAAACCGCAUGGUUUUCUUUUAAAAGAUGGCUCUGCUAUCACUUCUGGAUGGACCCGCGGCGUAUUAGCUAGUUGGUGAGGUAAAGGCUCACCAAGGCAGUGAUACGUAGCCGACCUGAGAGGGUAAUCGGCCACAUUGGGACUGAGACACGGCCCAGACUCCUACGGGAGGCAGCAGUAGGGAAUCUUCCACAAUGGACGCAAGUCUGAUGGAGCAACGCCGCGUGAGUGAAGAAGGGUUUCGGCUCGUAAAGCUCUGUUGUUAAAGAAGAACGUGGGUAAGAGUAACUGUUUACCCAGUGACGGUAUUUAACCAGAAAGCCACGGCUAACUACGUGCCAGCAGCCGCGGUAAUACGUAGGUGGCAAGCGUUAUCCGGAUUUAUUGGGCGUAAAGCGAGCGCAGGCGGUCUUUUAAGUCUAAUGUGAAAGCCUUCGGCUCAACCGAAGAAGUGCAUUGGAAACUGGGAGACUUGAGUGCAGAAGAGGACAGUGGAACUCCAUGUGUAGCGGUGAAAUGCGUAGAUAUAUGGAAGAACACCAGUGGCGAAGGCGGCUGUCUGGUCUGCAACUGACGCUGAGGCUCGAAAGCAUGGGUAGCGAACAGGAUUAGAUACCCUGGUAGUCCAUGCCGUAAACGAUGAUUACUAAGUGUUGGAGGGUUUCCGCCCUUCAGUGCUGCAGCUAACGCAUUAAGUAAUCCGCCUGGGGAGUACGACCGCAAGGUUGAAACUCAAAAGAAUUGACGGGGGCCCGCACAAGCGGUGGAGCAUGUGGUUUAAUUCGAAGCUACGCGAAGAACCUUACCAGGUCUUGACAUCUUCUGACAGUCUAAGAGAUUAGAGGUUCCCUUCGGGGACAGAAUGACAGGUGGUGCAUGGUUGUCGUCAGCUCGUGUCGUGAGAUGUUGGGUUAAGUCCCGCAACGAGCGCAACCCUUAUUACUAGUUGCCAGCAUUAAGUUGGGCACUCUAGUGAGACUGCCGGUGACAAACCGGAGGAAGGUGGGGACGACGUCAAAUCAUCAUGCCCCUUAUGACCUGGGCUACACACGUGCUACAAUGGAUGGUACAACGAGUCGCGAGACCGCGAGGUUAAGCUAAUCUCUUAAAACCAUUCUCAGUUCGGACUGUAGGCUGCAACUCGCCUACACGAAGUCGGAAUCGCUAGUAAUCGCGGAUCAGCAUGCCGCGGUGAAUACGUUCCCGGGCCUUGUACACACCGCCCGUCACACCAUGAGAGUUUGUAACACCCAAAGCCGGUGG